AGGUGGCGAGCGUUAUCCGGACUUACUGGGGGUAAAGGGAGCGUAGGCGGAUGAAUAAGUGGGAUGUGUAAUACCUGGGCUCAACUUGGGUGCUGCAUUCCAAACUGGUUAUCUAGAGUGAAGGAGAGGAGAGUGGAAUUCCUAGUGUAGCGGUGACAUGCGUAGAGAUUAGGAAGAACACCAGUGGCGAAGGCGACUCUCUGGACUGUAACUGACGCUGAGGCUCGAAAGCGUGGGGAGCAA
rnacentral:rRNA from 1 species